GUGGUCAUAGGGAGAACAUACAAACUCUGUAUAGACAGCAUCCUUAGUUAGGAUCGAAUCCAUGAGUCUAGCUCUACUGC